rnacentral:sRNA from 1 species
AUAAUUCNUUAUUUUUUGAAAUAUUUUUCCAAUUUCCCUUGUCUAUCUACUCCAUGUUGCUUCCACUAGACAGGUAUAUAUUAUUAAAAAUUGGAUUAAAAAUCUAAUUUUCAAUAAUAUUUGCCCUUUAAUUCCCUAACGGGGUUGAAGAAUANUCGGUGGAUAGCCUUCAUUAAGAUAAAAACCUUUUUGUGAAAAACAUANUCUGAUAAACUAGUAUUUUUUCUGAAUAUAAAAAACUUUCAACAACGGAUCUCUAGGCUCUUGCAUCGAUGAAGAACGCAGUGAAAUGUGAUAAGUAAUGUGAAUUGCAGAAUCUCGUGAAUCAUUGAAUCUUUGAACGCACAUUGCGCCCAAUGGUAUUCCAUUGGGCAUACCUGUUUGAGUGUCANAAUCCUCCCAACUAUCANACUGUUAUACGUGUGUUANAAACAUCCGUAUAAUGAUGUUUGGAAUAUUAUUGANAAUAGUANUAUAUAUUGAAAUAUUACUUUCUUAAAAAUCAACAAGAUUUUUGUUUUGAUUUUUAAUCAACUCGUUUUGUAUGUAAUAUAACAAAUGGGUAUGAUUAAAAGUGACAAUACUUUAUUUUGGAUGACCUCAAAUCAGGUAGGGAUACCCGCUGAACUUAAGCAUAUCAAUAA